AGAGUUUGAUCAUGGCUCAGAACGAACGUUAGCGGCGCGCCUAACACAUGCAAGUCGAACGCGACAGGGGCAACUCUGUUGAGUGGCGCACGGGUGAGUAACACGUAGGUAAUCUCCCCUCGAGUGGUGGAUAACCUUCCGAAAGGAGGGCUAAUACAGCAUAAGACCACGGCCUCGAAAGAGGCUGAGGUCAAAGCGGAGGAUCGCAAGACUUCGCGCUUGAGGAUGAGCCUGCGGCCCAUCAGGUAGUUGGCGGAGUAAAAGCCCACCAAGCCUAAGACGGGUAGCUGGUCUGAGAGGAUGAUCAGCCACACUGGAACUGAGACACGGUCCAGACUCCUACGGGAGGCAGCAGUGGGGAAUCUUGCGCAAUGGACGAAAGUCUGACGCAGCGACGCCGCGUGGGUGAUGAAGGCCUUCGGGUUGUAAAGCCCUGUGGGGAGGGACGAAUAAGUUCCGGUUAAUACCCGGAGCGAUGACGGUACCUCCUUAGCAAGCACCGGCUAACUCUGUGCCAGCAGCCGCGGUA
rnacentral:rRNA from 1 species